AAUUUCAAACAAUAAUGUUAUACCUUAGCAAUACUUUUCAUAAAAAUGCAUACAAAAAAAACAGAAAAAAAUGUCUCCAUUUAAAAUGGAGAAACACAAAUUAGUAUCUUAUUCUCACAAGUCAAACUCCAUUUCAAACAAAUUGAUACUGAGUUAGCCAGAAAAAGUUCAACAUGAGGCACCAUAGUAGCACAAAAACUGCAAAGGUGAACAAGGGCCAGCCAUUCUGUGCCAAGUUGAAAUCUAAUCCUUUGGUUAUUAUGAAGUCAUUAAAGAAUCUUAAGUAGGUAAUAAAAUGAUCAAAAAUAUAUUUAGAAAGAUCUCUCAGGCAUAAUAGAUAAUAUGUGGAUAAUGGACUAGGGACAGGCAAUUCUGGCAGUUUAUCAGAGUUCAGGGGUUGCAUGUCUUCUGCCAAAGUUCAUGGGCAACAUAAACAAUGAAGCUGAGAAACCUAGCAGGAAACAGCAAUUAAGUGGAAAAGAAGGUGAAGGCUGCAGCCCACCUGUCCUACCUGGAAUGCUCUCAAGAUGGCUUCCCCCAUCACACUGAAGGAAUGACAUCAAAAUUACUUUGUGAAAGCCAGGACCCCACUCCAAGCAGAUUCUGGUAAUAACGUCCCCAAAAAGGUGAAGACACAAAAAGUGACCAAGUGAGUAAAUAUUGAAGUUAUUGGGAACCAUAGUUCUCACUGUUGGAAAAGAACAAUAUAAAUAUGGAAUGAGAUAACGCUUAGAUGAGCCAUCAACCUAGCUGCCAUCAACCUAGAUCCAUCUGCAGAGAUCCUAAAAGUGUUUACAUGCCUUCCUCAGAAGAAAAGCACACCUCUCUUUGAUCUCAGUGAUAUCAUGAGACUAAGAUGCUGCUAUGGACUGAAAUGUGUCCCUCCAAAUUUAUGUUGUCGUCCUAACCCUCACUAUGACUGCAUUUGGAGAUAGGACCUUUAAAGAGGCCCCUCUUCCCUGCUUGUAUGGUCUCAGAGAAGGAGAAGGAGAAGGAGAAGGAGAAGGAG